AGUGCACUGGACUGGAGGAGCCUCAGACAAGAACAUGAACAGCCCAGCAGCAGUGGCCCCUGACUAACUUAACUCCUGACACACACACGCACACACACACACACACACACACACACACACACACACACACACACACACACACACACACACACACACAUCAUUAUCAGAAAUCUCCUACCUUAUGACUGGAUACCUGGGACCAGAGAAACUAAGAUGAUUCUUUCACCCAAAUCUUUGAGGCAGUGCUUUAAAUAAGAGAGUUUUACCUCUACUUUACUCUCCUCACUCGAACUUUCUGGGACUUUGAUGUUCCUCUCCCCUUCCACGCUGUCGUUGCUGGUAUCCUCCCCCCUUCCAUGUUUUCUUGAACCUCUCCCCCCAGCAUGGCUUCUCGAGGUCUGUCUUGCUGUUGUGUAGCAUCUAGGAUGUGCAUGGGCCGUUGAUUCAAUCAGAAUGGACCAAUCACAUUGUUUUGUAGGACAUCGUCAAUAAAGAAUCUUCAUUCAGCAUUACCAGGAUGUUCGUUCCAUCCCGUAAAGAAUAGAUUCAUAAUAUGCAUUUUUGCUCUUGAUUUUCAUAAAAAUGGCAGCGAAAAAUGUGAAAUGCCUUAGGAAUUCAAAAUCCAGAGAUUAGUCUAAUAGACAACAGAGGGCUGUAGUGCUGGAGGAACUGUUGAAGGUCAGCCUGCCAUUCUACCCUGUGGCAAAUGCUGACUGGGUAUGGCAAAAAUUGCCAACAUGAGGUCAGUGUUCAAGAAGAAGCUAAAAAAAAAGGGAAUCAUCUAUAAAAUCAGGGGCAGAAGUUAUGGUUCUUUAAUCUCCUGGUGUUCACCGUCGACCAGGAGCUGCCUAGGCUGUCCAUCGCCAAUCUACCUUUGGACUUGGGUGCCUUGGCUUUGGCGUCUACCACCCCUGAACUGGAGGAGUUUACCUUAAGUGAUUCUUCUCUGCCCGUAGAUGAGGGAAGUUUGCAGACACUAGAGCCAUCGCCAGGGCUUCCAUCACCUGUCCUCUGAUCUACCCCCAUCACCAGCACCCAGUAGCCUCACAGCUGCCUGAAGUAGGCCCCAGGAGAGGACGUGAAAUGCCACAUCAGGGUUGGAAUACGUCUAAACCUAUGACUCCUCAGUUCCUUGAGUUAGCCAAUCGGCUCAUGGCAAUUGAUGAGGAUGAAUAGGACCAUGUGGGGAGCACCGUCACCAAAAAGCUAAGAAGCAUGGAUACUGCAAUGAGGGCAGAAGAAGAGAGGAUUAUGGGGGAUCAUUUAUACUGGCCAGUGUUGGUACCCUUAACAGACACAUCCAGUUAACAAAUAACCGCCUAUGCCUCACCAGGAAGUCAAUCCUAUCUGACCUGCACCUAUCCCACAACCAUGCCAUAUUAUCUUGAUCAAUAUCCCACUAUCCCCACUUUGAAAUGUGGCCACCAUCCCCUUCUGUGCACCCAUGCCCCCCACCAAUGAUAGUAGUGGCUUCUUCAUGGGUUUGCUCCCUCCCAACCUGCCCCC